ACUACAUGUACAGGAUAGGUGGGAGGCUUUGAAACCAGGACGCCAGUUUUGGCGGAGCCAUCCUUGGGAUACCACCCUUGUAGUACUGGGACUCUAACCAUAGGCCAUGAAUCUGGUCUUGGGACACUGUCAGGUGGGCAGUUUGACUGGGGCGGUCGCCUCCCAAAAGGUAACGGAGGCGCUAAAAGGUUCUCUCAGUACGGUCGGAAAUCGUACGUAGAGUGUAAAGGCAAAAGAGAGCUUGAUUGCAAGACAUACAGGGCGAGCAAGGAUGAAAAUCGGACUUAGUGAUCCGGUGGUUCUGCGUGGAAGGGCCAUCGCUCAACGGAUAAAAGCUACCCUGGGGAUAACAGGCUUAUCUCCCCCAAGAGUCCACAUCGACGGGGAGG
rnacentral:rRNA from 1 species